rnacentral:rRNA from 1 species
CUUGAACCCAUUAUAAGAGGUCCAGCCUGCCCAGUGACUAAGUUCAACGGCCGCGGUAUCCUAACCGUGCGAAGGUAGCGUAAUCACUUGUUCUUUAAAUGAGGACUAGUAUGAAUGGCACCACGAGGGUGGUACUGUCUCCUUUCUCUAAUCAAUGAAACUGAUCUCCCCGUGAAGAAGCGGGGAUGAAAAUAUAAGACGAGAAGACCCUAUGGAGCUUCAAAUCAUAAAGCACUGACUUACCAAUAGCAAAGUUUCAGAACAUUAAUGAUAACUUUAGUCAGAAUGUUUAUCGAUUUUAGGUUGGGGUGACCGCGGAGAAAAAAUUAUCCUCCACAUUGAAUGGAGCUACUCCUGAGCAAAAAGCUACAACUUUAAGCACCAACAAAUUGACAUUAAUUGACCCAAUAUAUUGAUCAACGAAC